UCCUAUGAUGGCAUGAAAUCUUUGAGACCUGAAUUUCUCUAUUUUGAUGACAACUACAAGCAAUUUUUCUGAGGAU